UACAGAGGUCCCGAGCGUUGUUCGGAUUCAUUGGGCGUAAAGGGUGCGUAGGCGGCGGGGAAAGUCUGAUGUGAAAUCCUGGGGCUCAACCCUGGAACUGCAUUGGAUACUUCCUUGCUAGAGUACUGGAGAGGAAACUGGAAUUUACGGUGUAGCAGUGAAAUGCGUAGAGAUCGUAAGGAAGACCAGUGGCGAAGGCGAGUUUCUGGACGGUCACUGACGCUGAGGCACGAAGGCCAGGGGAGCAAACGGG
rnacentral:rRNA from 1 species